CCUGUCGCUCUCGAGCGACGGGAUGACGGGGUGCUUUUUGCAGAACGAGCCAACGAGUCCGAGUGCAUAGCUUGUCUAAGUCCUAUGGGACGGAGGCGAAGCGAAAGCGAGUGUUAAAAGCGCGUCGGCGAUUUAUUCGUCGUGCUGUGCGCUCGGGACCCGAAGCCAGAGCGAGCUUACCAUGAGCAGGGUGAACCCCGCGUAAAAGUGGGGGGAGGCCCGCACCCGUUGGUCGUACAACGCCAUGGGAUGACUUGUGGUAAGAAGUGAAAAGCUAAUCGAGCCUGGUAAUAGCUGGUUCUCCCCGAAAUAGCUUUAGGGCUAGCCUCGAUUGAUUGGCCGCGGAGGUAGAGCACUGAAUGGAUGCGGAUGGUUUUUCCUACCGUAUCCAAACAAACUCCGAAUGCCGCGGUUUUCAAAUCGGGAGUUAGACUACGGGGGCUAAGCUCCGUGGUCAAAAGGGAAACAGCCCAGAUCAUCAUCUAAGGUCCCUAAAUCGAACUAAGUGUGAAAGGAAGUGUCCUGACUUUGACAGGUAGGAGGUUGGCUUAGAAGCAGCCACCCUUUAAAGAGUGCGUAACAGCUCACUAUUCUAUUAUGCCAGGGCGCGCCGAAGAUGUAUGGGACUAAGUUCGAUACCGAAGAUAUGGGUCUGCCGUAAGCAGACAUACACUAAUUUAACUAAUAUAUACACGAAAUAAACGGACAGAUUUUAGUUUUAUUCGUUGGUAUUGGUUUUUUUAGUGUAUGCCCGCUGAAAGCAGGCGGUAGGGGAGCAUUCCCGUUGCAGUGAAGGUUCGAUGUGAGUCGGGCUGGAGCGGCGGGAAGCGAGAAUGUUGGCAUGAGUAACCACAAUUCCGGUGAGAGACCGGAACACCGCAAGCCUAAGGUUUCCUUGGCAAUGCUAGUCAACCAAGGGUUAGCCGGAUCUAAGCGUGCUCCGCGCCUAGUUUGUUAGUUAUACCCUCAUAACGAGUGAGUGAAAUUAUGAUCAACUAAUGAACUGCGCGCGAAGCACGCGAUGUGCAGCAGGUUAAUAUUCCUGCGCUUCCUUAUUUUUUCGAUGGAGUGACGGAGUUUAGUAGUCCGAGUGGUUUAUUGGAUUACCAUUCUUUGCCUAAGGAUGCUUAUCAGGUAAAUCCGGUAAGCGUUAAAUCCAAGGGUUGAGAAAAGGUUGGUUUCGACCAACCGAUUCGGAUGAGCAAGCUUCCGAGAAAAGCUUCUAGAGUUAAGGAUAAGGAACCCGUACCGAAAACCGACACAGGUGGGCGAGGCGAGUAGCCUAAGGUGAACGGGUGAUUCCUCGUUAAGGAACUCGGCAAAAUAGCGUUCGUAAGUUAGCGAUAAGGACUCCCCGCAGCAAUGCGGGGCGCAGCGAAAGACCCCUAGCGACUGUUUAUCAAAAACACAGCUCCCUGCUUAACUCGCAAGAGGAUGUAUAGGGGGUGACGCCUGACCAGUGCUGGAAUGUUAAUGAUGCCGGUUGCUGUUUGCUUUCGGGUGGAUGGCGGCUGAGUGUCUGAAGCACCAGUAAACGUCCGCGGUAACUAUAACCGUGUUAAUGUAGCGAAAUUCCUUGUCUGGUAAGUUCAGACCCGCAUGAAAGGCGUAACGACUGGGGGACUGUCUCAACGAGGAGCCCGGUGAAAAUGCAAUGUCGGUAAAGAUGCCGACUACCUGCGGCUAGACGAAAAGACCCCGGGAGCUUUACUAUAGAGUGGUAUUGAAUUAUGGGUUUAGAUGCGUAGCGUAGCCGGGAGGCUUUGAAGCCCCAUUUUCGGAUGGGGUGGAGCCGCCAAUGAAACACCGGCCUUCUGGGUCUAUAAUUCUAACUCCCCGCGUAAAAGCGGGGGAGACAGUGCCACUUGGGUAGUUUAAGUGGGGCGCUUGCCUCCUAAAGAGUAGCGGAGGCGCUUAUAAGGUUGGCUAGGGCCGGAUGGAAACCGGUCUGAUAGCGUAAAGGCAUAAGCCAGCUUUACUGCAAGACGUACAUGUCGCGCUCAUAAAUUUUAAUUUAUGACGGCGUAUUUUUUAAUUAAGAUGCGUUGAGUUGCGAAAGCAGAACUUAGUGAACCGACCGCUCUUCGUAGAAAGGCGGAAGAUCAUCAGACAAAAGCUACCCCGGGGAUAACAGGCUGGUCGUGCCCAAGAGUCCAUAUCGACGGCACGGUUCGGCACCUCGAUGUCGGCUCAUCACAUCCUGGAGGGGGAGCACCUUCCAAGGGUAUGGCUGUUCGCCAUUUAAAGUGGUACGUGAGCUGGGUUCAAACCGUCAACCAAAACUUGUUGCUGUUAAACAAGUUUGGCGGCUCCCGAUAGCAAUAUCGGGAUGCAAAAACUGACUCAUAUCGGUGAAAUCCUAGUAGACAUUCAACCUGUCGUAUGCUAGGAUAAUACCGAGGGAAGUUUUAAAUUAUUUUGCGAUGAAAAAGUUGUCUAGUGCUAGAUUAUCUUAUAUAGCCGGAUUCCUUGAUGGAGACGGAAGUGUGUAUAUCAAGCUGACAAAAAAUAAAACUUAUCGGUUUAAAUAUCAGGUAAGUUCUUAUAUUGUUUUUUAUCAAAGUAGUAUUAAUAUACAAU
rnacentral:rRNA from 1 species